UACGUAGGGUGCGAGCGUUGUCCGGAAUUACUGGGCGUAAAGAGCUCGUAGGUGGUUUGUCGCGUUAUUCGUGAAAACCUGAGGCUUAACCUUGGGCGUGCGGGCGAUACGGGCAGACUGGAGUACUGCAGGGGAGACUGGAAUUCCUGGUGUAGCGGUGGAAUGCGCAGAUAUCAGGAGGAACACCGGUGGCGAAGGCGGGUCUCUGGGCAGUAACUGACGCUGAGGAGCGAAAGCGUGGGGAGCGAACAGG
rnacentral:rRNA from 1 species